rnacentral:rRNA from 1 species
ACCCGCACAAGCGGUGGAUGAUGUGGUUUAACUCGAUGCAACGCGAAAAACCUUACCCACCUUUGACAUGGCAGGAAUCCCGAAGAGAUUUGGGAGUGCUCGAAAGAGAACCUGCACACAGGUGCUGCAUGGCUGUCGUCAGCUCGUGUCGUGAGAUGUUGGGUUAAGUCCCACAACGAGCGCAACCCUUGCCAUUAGUUGCUACGAAAGGGCACUCUAAUGGGACUGCCGGUGACAAACCGGAGGAAGGUGGGGAUGACGUCAAGUCCUCAUGGCCCUUAUAGGUGGGGCUACACACGUCAUACAAUGGCCGGUACAGAGGGUAGCCAACCCGCGAGGGGGAGCCAAUCCCACAAAGCCGGUCGUAGUCCGGAUCGCAGUCUGCAACUCGACUGCGUGAAGUCGGAAUCGCUAGUAAUCGCGGAUCAGCAUGUCGCGGUGAAUACGUUCCCGGGUCUU